rnacentral:lncRNA from 1 species
UCAGAGGCUUCAGACAUUCACGAAGGACAUGAUUAAUUAUAAAAUGAUGAUAUAUCUGAUUCUGAGGACACUGAUUUUUGUUGCUCAACAAUUGUCAUUCAGAUUCUUUUGCUUCAGCAAAUAUGGAUGACGUUGAAUUGACAGAUCCCGAGUCUUGAACAAUAAAAUGUGUUCAGGUUGCAUGUUGAUCGAGUGAUCCUGUGUCAUCGUCCGGCUUGGUUACAGCAUCACACAGUUGUACAUUAAAAGGUUGCAUUUUCCAUUCUGUUAUACAUUAAAAAGAUGAUCUUCAGUUAUACAAAGUUGGUGCAUCUAUCAUGUUUAUCAUCUUUUAAGAGUGAACAACUGAACACACUCCAAAAUGAAUCAACUUUUUUUUAGAAUGACUGUAAUGUGCAACAAACUCUUUGUUAAAGACCAGUUUGAUUACGGAGGUAGCCUGAUACUGUACACCAUUUUCCCAACUAGUGCUUUCUUGCCUGCUAUUAUAUUUCUCUUUUGUAUUACAAUCCAAUAAACAAAUUUUAAUGUUUCUAAUAAUUUGUUCUUUCCUGUCUAUCUCAGUUUCAUUCUUUUCUAUUUUAAGUAGAAUAGAUAAGAAUAACUAUAAACUUUCAAUUUUGAAAUAUAUUAAUCUAGCUUGAAGAACAAUGCAUUUUUUUUUUGUUGUUUACUCUAUUGUUUGAAAUAUUUACUCUAUUGUUUUCCAUUCUUUUUAUUCAUAACAAUGCAUUAUGUUACUGGCAUGGCAUUUGAGAAAAGAAAUAGCAUUCUCCAUCUUCGGCAUUUGACAAGGAUAAUUUCUUUUCUAUAUGUUUUUCCCUAUUUGUUUCAAUUUUGUUGACCUAACUAUGUUUGUUAUUUUUUAAUAAAACACUAUCUCUUCGUUGCAACUUCUUGCCUAAUUUUCUAAUUAAUUUGUAUCUAAUCUUUUAUGCUACUUUAUCUUUUUCAUUUUUUACAGAUAUUCUCUGCGAGGUCGUCUUCUAUAUUUUGAAUAUGAAAACUUGGGGAGUAGUCGAUUCAGUCCCAGUUUUAGGUAAUUUUUCUUCAUUGGUUUAUGUGUAGAUUACUCUCUAUGUAAUUAUUUUUUGGCUGGAAAUGGAAACUAAAUUUAGAUCCUAUUAUUUUAAUUAUGUUGAAGUAGGUUCGAGGAACCUUGGUCCUAAACAGAUUAAUAGAAAUGAUUGCUUGAGACAAACUUCUUGGAACCU